UAGGAGCAGACUAAUCAAUUGAAAAAAUACGCUAACAACCAGCAAAUUACAAUGAUAACGACUCAUACCUGUAUGCGUGUCUUAUUAUUGUUGAUGUGUGGAACAAGUGUUGCUGCCUUCACUGCGACACUAUCAUCAGGUAUUCAUACUGGUAGUCCAGUUUAUCCCAUAGUCAAAUACAACGUAAUAAAAGAUCUAAC